rnacentral:rRNA from 1 species
AACGAACGCUGGCGGCAUGCCUAACACAUGCAAGUCGAACGAGACCUUCGGGUCUAGUGGCGCACGGGUGCGUAACGCGUGGGAACCUGCCCUUAGGUUCGGAAUAACUCCCCGAAAGGGGUGCUAAUACCGGAUAAUGUCUUCGGACCAAAGAUUUAUCGCCUUUGGAUGGGCCCGCGUUGGAUUCGCUAGUUGGUAGGGUAAAAGCCUACCAAGGCGACGAUCCAUAGCUGGUCUGAGAGGAUGAUCAGCCACACUGGGACUGAGACACGGCCCAGACUCCUACGGGAGGCAGCAGUGGGGAAUAUUGGACAAUGGGCGAAAGCCUGAUACAGCAAUGCCGCGUGAGUGAUGAAGGCCUUAGGGUUGUAAAGCUCUUUUACCCGGGAUGAUAAUGACAGUACCGGGAGAAUAAGCUCCGGCUAACUCCGUG